rnacentral:rRNA from 1 species
GAAACUACGAAAGGAAGUUGACGGGGCCCGCACAAGCGGUGGAGCAUGUGUUUAAUUCGAUGCAACGCGAAGAACCUUACCUGGGCUUGACAUCCCGGGAAUCCCUUGGAACAAGGGAGUGCCCUUCGGGGAACCUGAGACAGGUGCUGCAUGGCUGUCGUCAGCUCGUGUCGUGAGAUGUUGGGUUAAGUCCCGCAACGAGCGCAACCCUUAUCCCCAGUUGCCAUCAGGUAAAGCUGGGAACUCUGGGGAGACUGCCGGUGAUAAACCGGAGGAAGGCGGGGAUGACGUCAAGUCCUCAUGGCUCUUACAUCCCGGGCUACACACGUGCUACAAUGGCAGGUACAGAGGGCUGCGAAGCCGCGAGGUGGAGCGAAUCCCAGAAAACCUGUCUCAGUCCGGAUUGAAGUCUGCAACUCGACUUCAUGAAGGCGGAAUCGCUAGUAACCGCGAAUCAGCAGGUCGCGGUGAAUACGUUCCCGGGCCUU